rnacentral:rRNA from 1 species
CGGCAACAGCUCAAAUUUGAAAUCUGGCCCCUCCGGGGUCCGAGUUGUAAUUUGUAGAGGAUGCUUUGGGGUUGCCACCGGUCUAAGUUCCUUGGAACAGGACGUCACAGAGGGUGAGAAUCCCGUACGUGACCGGCCAGGCGCUCCGUGUAAAGCUCCUUCGAC